AAGUCGUAACAAGGUUUCCGUAGGUGAACCUGCGGAAGGAUCAUUAACACAAUCUGAAGAUUAAAUCCUCUUCAAACUAACGUGAACUUAAACCAAUCGCCCUAUAAUAGUAUUAUUAUAGGCAAUGAGAAUAGUAAUAAUUCCCAUUGUGCAUUUAAUAUAUUUUAUUAUAUUAUAUUAUUGCCAUUGCGAUUAUUACUGUUCGAUCCAUAUUUUUACACCAUUAUAAUCCACAUUGUAGUUGACUUGUAAUUUCUAUAUAUAGUCUAGCUUAGCUAAGCUAUAUAUGUAAUGUUAAUAUAAUAAACAUAAAAACAAAAACAACUCUUAACAAUGGAUAUCUUGGUUCUCGU
rnacentral:misc_RNA from 1 species